rnacentral:rRNA from 1 species
UACAGAGGGUGCGAGCGUUGUCCGGAAUCACUGGGCGUAAAGCGCGCGUAGGCGGCUUUGCAAGUCGGGUGUGAAAUCCCCAGGCUUAACCUGGGAACUGCAUUCGAGACUGCAUUGCUAGAGUAUGGGAGAGGGAAGUGGAAUUUCCGGUGUAGCGGUGAAAUGCGUAGAUAUCGGAAGGAACAUCAGUGGCGAAAGCGACUUCCUGGACCAAUACUGACGCUGAGGCGCGAAAGCUAGGGUAGCAAACGGG